GGCUAGUUAUUUCUCAACUCCAACGGCUCUAUUUUUGUCUCUAACGGCUAGAUCUUUGUUUCCACGUCAUCCAAAGCUAUAAAAUCAAGAGGAGAGCUAUGGGAGAACUUAAGAAAGUAGGAGAGAACACAUAGGGAAGAGAUUUCAAGAAAAACCUCCCAAAAGUACAAAAGGGUCAUUCAAAGCAAAAGAGAGAAGAAGAGCAUCCGAGUGAAUCCCAAAGCUUCCUCUCCAACUGUGUGCUGUCUCAGUGAUCCUCUACCUCG
rnacentral:lncRNA from 1 species